rnacentral:rRNA from 1 species
AUGGCAUCGGUGCUAGUGCUCGGUGCCAUUGCACUCAUGCUGAACCUUGCAUCUAUAUCAUCAGCGCAGCCUCACCGCGGAUGCAAAACGCGGUGCGGUGACAUAGAGAUUCCCUAUCCAUUUGGCAUUGGUGCCGGCUGUGCUAUCGAACAAGGCUUCGAGAUCAGCUGCAGCAGGACUGCCAAUGGGAUCGAGAGGCCAUUCAUAAAUUACUUGGAGGUUCUAAGCAUCUCAGCGUCAGGUGGUCAAUCCCGAGUUUUAAUGUUCAUCCCGACAUAUUGCUACAAUUCCAGUACAGGACAAAUGGAUUCCUACCUUUGGGAUUUUUACUUGGUUUGGCCGUAUCGGAUCUCGGAUGUGCACAACAAAUUCAUAAGCAUUGGUUGCAACACAAUCGGGUACAUCUACAACACCGAAAAAUCGACAAGGUAUGCGACAGGGUGUGUGUCGGUGUGUGGGAGCCCGGGAGACCUGAAAAAUGGCUCGUGUGUUGGUGUAGGCUGCUGCCAGAACACCGUCCCCAAGGACUUAACGAGCUACCAUGUCUACUUCUAUGAUGUAGACUAUGUGGAUGUUUCAAAUAGUUGGCACUUCAACCCAUGCAGCUAUGCCAUGGUGGUGGAGGCAGAGACAUUCACUUUCAACUCCGAGUUCAUAACCACAAAGAGGUUCAAUGAUACCUACGAGGGGUGGCAGCCGGUUGUCCUUGACUGGGUGAUUGGAAAUGCAACAUGUGAGGUGGCACGCAGAAACAUGUCUUCUUAUGCAUGCCGGAGCGAAAACACCGUGUGCGUGGAUUCAUCCAACGGCCCAGGUUAUCUGUGCAACUGCUCCGUUGGAUACCAAGGGAAUCCUUACCUCUCUGGUGGAUGCACAGAUGUCAAUGAAUGUGAGCACACUCCAAGCCCCUGUCCUGAUUUUGCAACUUGCCGAAACACAGUUGGAGGGUACCAUUGUUCAUGUCCCUUUGGCAGCAGUUUUGCCAAGGAAACAAACUCUUGCACCAACCGGUUUAUAGUAUGGAUAUGUUUGCUGCGGCAUCGGGGCUCUAUUUCUUGCGUCAGUUUCAACUUUGUUGGUUCGGAUGUGGAAGAGAAGCAUGAAAAAUAGAGUUCGAAAGGCAUACUUUAGAAAAAACAAAGGUCUUGUCUUGGAACAGUUGAUCUCAUCCGAUGGAAGUGCCACACAUAGCACUAAAAUAUUUUCCUUGGACGAGUUAGAAAAGGCAACUGAUAAUUUUGACUCCACACGCAUUCUAGGCCUUGGAGGGCAUGGCACUGUUUACAAGGGGAUUUUAUCCGAUCAACGUGUUGUGGCCAUAAAAAAGUCCAAAAUGGCCGAUCAAAGAGAGAUUGAUCAAUUCAUAAAUGAGCUUGCAAUUUUAUCACAAAUCAGUCAUCGAAAUGUGGUGAAACUUUUUGGAUGUUACCUUGAGUCAGAGGUACCUUUGCUCGUGUAUGAGUUUGUCUCCAACGGGACAUUAUCUGAACUUCUUCAUGGUGACCACCUGAGUGGUAGAAGCUUGUUAACCUGGGGCAAUCGUAUCAGAAUUGCUAGCGAGGCGGCAAGUGCUCUUGCUUACCUCCAUUCCGCUGCCGCAAUACCAAUCUUUCAUAGAGAUGUGAAAUCUACCAACAUACUCUUAACAGAUAACCUCACUGCAAAGGUGGCAGACUUUGGUGCCUCGAGGUCCAUCUCCAUCGACGAAACUCAUGUGGUCACAGCAGUGCAGGGCACAUUCGGGUACUUGGAUCCUGAGUAUUACCACACCGGCGAGCUAACCGAGAAGAGUGAUGUUUACAGUUUCGGUGUGAUAAUUGGCGAGCUUCUGACUAGGAAGAAGCCGGUCUUCCUCAAUGCCCGGUGUGAAAAGCAAAACUUAUCUCAUUACUUCCUUCAAAUGCUACAAGAUAACGCCAUGAUGGAGAUCGUCGAUGUUCAAGUUCUCGAGGAAGGCAACGAUAGACAGAUCGCUGAGAUGGUUGCCCUUGCGAGGGUGUGCUUGAGGCACAGAGGGGAAGAGCAGCCUACCAUGAAAGAAGUGGAGCUUAGGCUGCAGCUCCUGAGAGGCAAGAUGAUAAUGGAGAAAAAACAUGAGUUAGAGAACGAGGGUGAAGCCAUACCAUUGUUACCUUCAAGCUGUUCCACUUAUUUCAGUGCUAGCUCCGGUCCACGGCACGGUGAGUUCUUCUCAGCUGCCAAUCAUUCAGCUCAGGAUGUCACCAGAUGCUACACUAUGGAGCAGGAGCUUGUUUCCUGGACCGACAUACCUCGCUGA